UCCGGCGGGGCCCGGGCGGCCGCGGCGUCGUGUGCGGGUGGCGGAGGGCGCGUCUGCCAUGAGCCACUACCAGAAGAGGCGGGCGGGUUACAAAACUUCACAGGGGUUCCUGGGGACAGUUCUGGAGGUCAGAAGUCUGAAAUGAGUCUACUAGGUGAAGAUCAAGGUGUCGGCAUGGCUGCAUUUCUUCAGGAGGCUCUGUGGAAGAAUCUGUUUACUUGCCUUUUCCAGCUUCUCCAAGUCACUAAUGAGAUCCUUGGAUCUGCAUUUACUGCUCCAUCUGAUCCCACGACUGCGUCUGAAUGGCGUAUGUGGCUCUGGACCCUCAAGCACAUACCAGGAGAUCAAGAAUUACAGGUGGUAUUUUUUUAUUUGGCUGCGCCGUGCAGCAUACUGGAUCUUAGUUCCCUGACCACG